UACGUAGGGCGCAAGCGUUUAUCCGGAAUUAUUGGGCGUAAAGAGCUCGUAGGCGGUUUGUCGCGUCUGCCGUGAAAGUCCGGGGCUCAACUCCGGAUCUGCGGUGGGUACGGGCAGACUAGAGUGAUGUAGGGGAGACUGGAAUUCCUGGUGUAGCGGUGAAAUGCGCAGAUAUCAGGAGGAACACCGGUGGCGAAGGCGGGUCUCUGGGCCGGAAUGACUGACGCUGGAGGAGCGAAAGCGUGGGGAGCGAACAGG
rnacentral:rRNA from 1 species